UCGGGAAUUUUGGACAAUGGGCGAAAGCCUGAUCCAGCCAUGCCGCGUGAGUGAAGAAGGCCUUCGGGUUGUAAAGCUCUUUUAGUCGGAAAGAAAGAGUUGGAAUGAAUAAUUGUGAUUUAUGACGGUACCGACAGAAAAAGCACCGGCUAACUACGUGCCAGCAGCCGCGGUAAUACGUAGGGUGCGAGCGUUAAUCGGAAUUACUGGGCGUAAAGGGUGCGCAGGCGGUCUUGCAAGUCAGAUGUGAAAGCCCCGGGCUUAACCUGGGAAUUGCGUUUGAAACUACAAGACUAGAGUGCAGCAGAGGGGAGUGGAAUUCCAUGUGUAGCAGUGAAAUGCGUAGAGAUGCGGAAGAACACCGAUGGCGAAGGCAGCUCCCUGGGUUGACACUGACGCUCAUGCACGAAAGCGUGGGGAGCAAACA
rnacentral:rRNA from 1 species